rnacentral:rRNA from 1 species
UGCCCCAGUAACGGCGAGUGAAGCGGAACAGCUCAAAUUUGAAAUCUGGCCCCCCGGCCCGAGUUGUAAUUUGCAGAGGAUGCUUUUGGUGAGGCACCUACCGAGUCCCCUGGAAUGGGGCGCCACAGAGGGUGAGAGCCCCGUAUGGUAGGACGCCGAGCCUCUGUAAAGCUCCUUCGACGAGUCGAGUAGUUUGGGAAUGCUGCUCUAAAUGGGAGGUAAAUUUCUUCUAAAGCUAAAUACCGGCCAGAGACCGAUAGCGCACAAGUAGAGUGAUCGAAAGAUGAAAAGCACUUUGAAAAGAGGGUUAAAAAGUACGUGAAAUUGUUGAAAGGGAAGCGCUUGUGACCAGACUUGCGCCGGGCGGAUCAUCCAGCGUUCUCGCUGGUGCACUCCGCCCGGCUCAGGCCAGCAUCGGUUUCCGCCGGGGGACAAAGGCUUCGGGAACGUGGCUCCCUUCGGGGAGUGUUAUAGCCCGUCGCGUAAUACCCUGGCGGGGACCGACGACCGCGCUUCGGCAAGGAUGCUGGCGUAAUGGUCAUCAGCGACCCGUCUUGAAACACGGACCGAGGAGUCAAGCAUUAGUGCGAGUGUUUGGGUGUAAAACCCGCACGCGUAAUGAAAGUGAACGUAGGUGAGAGCUUCGGCGCAUCAUCGACCGAUCCUGAUGUUUUCGGAAGGAUUUGAGUAGGAGCAUUAACGCUUGGACCCGAAAGAUGGUGAACUAUACUUGAAUAGGGUGAAGCCA